rnacentral:rRNA from 1 species
CCUACGGGAGGCAGCAGUGAGGAAUAUUGGUCAAUGGCCGGAAGGCUGAACCAGCCAUGCCGCGUGAAGGUCAGUGCCCUAUGGGCGUUAAACUUCUUUUGUGCGGGAGCAAUAAUGGUCACGUGUGGCCAGACGAGAGUACCGUACGAAUAAGCAUCGGCUAACUCCGUGCCAGCAGCCGCGGUAAUACGGGGGAUGCCAGCGUUAUCCGGAUUUAUUGGGUUUAAAGGGUGCGUAGGCUGUGAGGUAAGUCAGCGGUGAAAUGCCCCCGCUCAACGGGGUGAAGUGCCAUUGAUACUGCCUGGGUGGGAGGCGGAUGCAGUGGGAGGAAUGUGUGGGG